GAUUUGCUCCCUGGCAUUUCACUUCCGACUUUCUCAUCCGGCAAGCCUACCGCUUAUAUCUCUAAAAUAAGCAUGUCCUACCGUAACAAUGAUAGUAGAAUUUAUGUUGGAAAUUUGCCCCCUGACAUCAGGAGCAAAGACUUGGAUGAUUUGUUUUACAAAUAUGGCAAAAUUAUGUAUAUCGACUUAAAGAAUCGCCGCGGUCCGCCAUUUGCUUUCGUCGAAUUUGAAGAUCCACGUGACGCUGAUGAUGCAGUUCGUGGACGGGAUGGAUAUAAUUAUGAUGGAUACACUUUACGAGUAGAAUUUCCUAAGGAUUCCAACAGAGGAUCUCGUUCUCUGUAUCGUGGACGAGGAGGCGGUGGCGGUUACAGAGGGGGAGGAAGAAGAGGUGGACGAGGAGGCGGAAUGCGUCGACCAGAAAAUAGAGUUUUGGUAACCAAUCUACCUCCUUCAGGUUCGUGGCAAGAUCUGAAGGAUCAUAUGCGCGAAGCAGGAGAUAUUUGCUUUGCGGAUGUUUAUAAAGAUGGCACAGGAAUCGUUGAAUUUCUCCAUCAUGACGAUAUGAAGUAUGCUAUUCGUAAAUUGGAUGAUACGAAGUUUAGGAGCCACGAGAAUGAAACAGCUUACAUUCGUGUGAAAGAAGAUGCUGGUAGACGAGAUCGGUCAAGAUCGAGAUCAAGAAGCCAUAGCUUUGAAAAGAGAGAUCGAAGAAGUCCUAGCUACUCCCCGAUGAGAAGGAGCCGUUCUCUAUCUCCAGGUCGAUGAACCCUGGUUGUUCUUUUUUUUUCUUGUAGCCUGUUAUAAGUAAAAACGGCUAUUUUUAUAAAGAUAGUUUAAAGGUAAAAAAAAAUAUUUUUCACGCAGGAUUAUUUGAUCAAUCAUUUUGAAUUUCGAAAAUAAAAUGUGAUUUUUAGUAGGUGUACUAAAUAUAAGACGCAUCCAUAAUGUUAAUAGAAUUACUCUCUAAAGCGAUCUAUAUAACUUUUUUUGUUUCCAGAAUAGACCUAAAGUUUACCAAAGCAUUGAUUAAAUAUAUUCUAUUGCAUAGGUGUAUGAAGUGAACACUUUGUUGAUAAAUUAAAUGUAACUUUUGUUAUGUGCGAAUAAAGUGUUAUUUCGGGAAAGAAACCAAUGCAAAACUAAAAUUCAGUAGUUAUCAAAUUACUUGCUUUUUUGUAAUAUUAAAACUUAACGUAUGAGUAAACUCAUAACUUUAAAGCACUGAAAUUUUUUUUUAAACGUAACAUUAAUCAAAUUAAAGUUUUGAGCAAGUUUUAUUUUGUUGUGCAGUUGAUAUACUAUUAUGAUUCACUAAAAUUAACAAAGUAGUUUUCAUUGUGUUUAUUAUAUAUUAUACUAUACUAUUUUAUACGAUCAGUUUUAUUUGAAGGAAAUAACAUACUACUAAAAAGCUGGCCGAACAUAAAGUUCUUAUAAUUUAAGCAUAAAAGUUUACUUUCAGUCGACUUAUUUUUUUUUUCGUAAGAAUAAACAUGUGUUUGAUUUCAACAGGUAACCUCCUUUAUUCUUAAAAACCCGUAAAAAUUACCGGAUCUAAACUACCGGAUCCAUAGAGCGCCAAUGCCAAUCUAAAGCGUUAAAAAUCGAGCAUCUGAAAAAAGUAACCGUUUGAGAGACAUAGACCGAGAGUGGAUAGAUAAGAUGCUUACCAAUUGCGGGAGUAUUUUCUCCACAUGUUCUGGCAUCACUUUAUCCUGUGAUUCAAUCUGAAAAACCACACAAAAUCUCGAUUAGGUAGCUCACCCGAGAGCAUUUGAGAAUCCUUAGGAGCUUUUGGUACAUUUAGCUUAUCAUGACAUCGCUUAGAACUUUCUAGAAGCUGAACUUACCUGGGCGCGCUUUGCGGCUCUGACGACGAGCUCUGGAAAAUGAAGCUUGAAUGUAAGUUUGUUGUGAUAAAUUUAGGCGAUAUAUCGCGUAUUUUUUAACAUAUAACAACUAGUUGACGCGAUAUAUCAUGAUAACAUUGAUUGAUUCACAUUUAAAGCAGCCGAAUAAGAUUCAAAGCCAUUCAAAACUUGAUUGCAUACGAUGACUAGUACCCGUAGCCCACUCGUAUUGAUAUAUAAGGCCUACAGAAAUGAGAAGCCUAUACCCCAAGGACCAACCCUUGCUUUUCCAUCCACAACCCAACGCGAGAUUGAGUUUGUGUGUCUUGACUAGGGAACGCUACGGAUCACUUGUAAAUAUUUUUCCUUCAGUAGAUUUCAGGUUAUAGAUAAUCCAACUGCUCAACUAUUACGAAAUCGGAGCCACUACUAUCUUUCGUUAGUUGAGAGAAAAUUAUUAAUAUUUUCUUCAAAUUGUCAUCGAAGAGUUCGCUAACCCUCUCGUGACCAAUUUGUGUUGGUUUUGUUAUGUGUAACGUUACAUGAAUUUUUCAAAUACAUUUCACAAGAACCUAAAAAACUGAAUGUGUUUUCGAAUGUCCUACCUUCAAUAAAGCAUCCAAAAAGCUCAGUAGCCAACUGUGCAGCAUUGUUCUUCACUAAUUAAUCGUAAAAUUAAUAAAUGAGAAACAAGUAAAAAAAUUUAUCUAACUUUUGGUAUUAUCGCUCUUGAAGUUUAACUGAAGAGUUUUUCGGACUGUUUCCUAAAGAUAAAAUUGAGUCAGAAAUAAGUAAAAUUUACUUAUAAGCAUUAAUUUGUUACUGGUUUUAAAAAAGAAGCAGCAGAGCUUUCAUCGCAAUCUUUGCCGCUAUCCGCCAUAACUGAUGAAACUUUCACCAAUUUUGAAAACUGGUUGAAUUUAAAAUCUUGGGAGAAAAUAUUAACAAAUAAUAAAGUCAAGUUCGUUAAGUUCAUAUUGAAUGUAUUUG
rnacentral:misc_RNA from 1 species